rnacentral:tRNA from 1 species
GGGCACGUAGCUCAGUUGGUAGAGCAUCCGCCUUUUAAGCGGACGGUCACAGGUUCGAAUCCUGUCGUGCCUACCA